UACGGAGGGUGCGAGCGUUGUCCGGAAUCAUUGGGCGUAAAGGGCGCGUAGGUGGCCUGGCAAGCGUGCGGUGAAAGCUCGGGGCUCAACCCCGAGUCGGCCGUGCGAACUGCUGGGCUCGAGCACUGUAGAGGCAGGCGGAAUUCCGGGUGGAGCGGUGGAAUGCGUAGAGAUCCGGAAGAACACCGGUGGCGAAGGCGGCCUGCUGGGCAGUGGCUGACACUGAGGCGCGACAGCGUGGGGAGCAAACAGG
rnacentral:rRNA from 1 species